rnacentral:tRNA from 1 species
GCGGGGGUAGCGAAGUCUGGCCAAACGCGCAGGACUUAAGAUCCUGUUCCUUAGUGGAUCCGAGGGUUCAAAUUGCAGCAAGCGAGCAUGCUUGCGCAUGCAUAUCCCUUCCCCCGCA